rnacentral:sRNA from 1 species
UGGUAAGUGACAGUACAUACUGUUUCGGAAUGGCUUGCCAGAAACUCAUCAACGGUUUUCAUUCUUUCCCUUAUCCGUUUGAGUGAU